rnacentral:rRNA from 2 species
GGAUCCAGACUUUGAUUAUGGCUCCUGAUGAACGCUAGCUACAGGCUUAACACAUGCAAGUCGAGGGGCAGCAUGAAAGGAACUUCGGUUCUUUUUGAUGGCGACCGGCGCACGGGUGCGUAACGCGUAUCGAACCUGCCUCAUACUCGGGGAUAGCCUUGCGAAAGUAAGAUUAAUACCCGGCGGUCUCGGACGGCCGCAUGACAGUCCGAGUGAAGAUUUAUCGGUAUGAGAUGGCGAUGCGUCCCAUUAGCUAGUUGGUGAGGUAAUGGCUCACCAAGGCGUCGAUGGGUAGGGGUUCUGAGAGGAAGGUCCCCCACAUUGGAACUGAGACACGGUCCAAACUCCUACGGGAGGCAGCAGUGAGGAAUAUUGGUCAAUGGACGAAAGUCUGAACCAGCCAAGUAGCGUGCAGGAUGACGGCCCUCUGGGUUGUAAACUGCUUUUAGUUGGGAAUAAAAAGAGGGACGUGUCCCUUAUUGUAUGUACCAUCAGAAAAAGGACCGGCUAAUUCCGUGCCAGCAGCCGCGGUAAUACGGAAGGUCCAGGCGUUAUCCGGAUUUAUUGGGUUUAAAGGGAGCGCAGGCGGCGGCGUAAGUCAGUUGUGAAAUCGUGCGGCUUAACCGUGCAAUUGCAGUUGAUACUGCGUCGCUUGAGUGCACACAGGGAUGUUGGAAUUCAUGGUGUAGCGGUGAAAUGCUUAGAUAUCAUGAAGAACUCCGAUCGCGAAGGCAUAUGUCCGGAGUGCAACUGACGCUGAGGCUCGAAAGUGUGGGUAUCAAACAGGAUUAGAUACCCUGGUAGUCCACACAGUAAACGAUGAAUACUCGCGGUUGGUUCGUUAGAAUCAGCCGCCAAGCGAAAGCGUUAAGUAUUCCACCUGGGGAGUACGCCGGCAACGGUGCAAC